GAUGAACGCUGGCGGCGCGCCUAAUACAUGCAAGUCGAGCGAACGGACGAGAAGCUUGCUUCUCUGAUGUUAGCGGCGGACGGGUGAGUAACACGUGGAUAACCUACCUAUAAGACUGGGAUAACUUCGGGAAACCGGAGCUAAUACCGGAUAAUAUUAUGAACCGCAUGGUUCAAAAGUGAAAGACGGUCUUGCUGUCACUUAUAGAUGGAUCCGCGCUGCAUUAGCUAGUUGGUAAGGUAACGGCUUACCAAGGCAACGAUGCAUAGCCGACCUGAGAGGGUGAUCGGCCACACUGGAACUGAGACACGGUCCAGACUCCUACGGGAGGCAGCAGUAGGGAAUCUUCCGCAAUGGGCGAAAGCCUGACGGAGCAACGCCGCGUGAGUGAUGAAGGUCUUCGGAUCGUAAAACUCUGUUAUUAGGGAAGAACAUAUGUGUAAGUAACUGUGCACAUCUUGACGGUACCUAAUCAGAAAGCCACGGCUAACUACGUG
rnacentral:rRNA from 1 species